UACUUUGUAGUAGUUGACUGUGAAAUUUAAUAACUAUUAUAUCAUUCAUCUGUAUAUUUUUUUCUAUCUAUAUAUUUAAUGUUUCAUUCAUCAAUACUACAGUAUUUACAAGUAUCCUCAUGCAGUUUUAUAGCUUUUGAAUAACCAAAAAUAUGUUAGAAAAAAAAUCUAGUACUGAUAAUAAUCAAUUAUCCAAAGAAGAUUAUUUAAUUAUGCGAGCAAAAGAGGCAUUGCCACUUGACAUUUAUGCAGCUAAAUCCUGGUUAAUUACUGCUAGAUCGUUGUUUCCUCAUAGUGCUAAAGUACAGUUUGAAGCUUAUCGGAUUGAAAAAUUAUCAAAAAAUGUGAAGGAAGCAGCAAAAUGUUUUAGUGAGAUAUUUCAGAAUUUUCCAGAUGAUCGAGAUAUAUGGAAGGAAAUAGAAACAGUAACAGCUUGUCUUCGUUUAGAACAAUGUGAUGCUGAAGCAGAAUUUUUAUGUCAAAUGUUUCAACAUAUACCUCAAGAACUCCAACAUAGAUUACUUAUCAUGACAGCUGAUCAUAGUGAAGAUACAAUGGAACAUUGUAAAUUACUACUUCUUUUAUUACGUAAAUUUCCUCAAACUAUUGCUACUCAUGGACCACGUUUAGUAGAGACUCUUCUUACUGCAGAAAAACAUAGUCAUCCAGGACGUGCAGUAAAUGGUUUUAGAAAGUUAUUGGCUUGUGAUGCAUUACCACUUCUUGGUACUGCACCAGUAGAAUUAAAUGCAAGACUUAGCUUAAGGUUACUUAAUAAGGCAGUAGAAUUCUAUUUGGCAUAUAUACAACAACCACAAGAUAAUCAAAUUCAACAUCCCUGGGAUAGAUUGUUUCAAGUUGUUGAAUUAAUUGGGAAAAAAUUAGGAUGGGAAUUAAGUAGUUUAUUUUCUAUGACUUGGAAUAGAGAUGCAUAUUGUGAAAAAUUACACCAAUAUGCAGUUGCUCAUUCUGCUAGUUUAUGUGAAGAACUGGUAGUUAGACAGUUAUUAAUGUGCACUGUUGCAGUAUUAUUAAGAAUAUUAAAUGAACACAAUGCUUUAAUUAAUAAUGAUGAAACAACAUAUUGUUUAAUAGAAGCAUUUGGAGAAUGUGUACAUUCUCCUACAGAACCAAAACUAAAAAAACGAAAAAGAGAAGAUAAUGGAGGAAUUAUGAUAACUAGUGAUAAUGAUUAUAGCGGUAAUGGUUUAGCAUUAACUGUAAAGUUAUGGGAUUUGUUACAUAGCAGUGAUUAUUUGCAAAGAGAAAUAGGAAAAUUAAAUCAACAACUUCGAUUAGAUUCGUGGUUAAAUUCAUUUUUAACAGAUUUGGCUAUGUAUAAAGGUUUACAUCAUGAAGUAUUAGCAAGAUUAUCUCAAGAAGCAGGUAAUUUGUCUGCUCAUCUUCGUUUAGCAAGUACAUGUUUUUUCUUGAAAGAUUACAAGGGAAUGUUAGAAUAUAUAGUUUUGGUAAUUACCGCUUUACCUUCAAUUUGCGGUAAAGUUUCUCAUAAUUUAACUGUUCCAUGUGGAAGACAUUUACAUUAUUUAACACUUGCACGAUUUCCUGUUAUACAGUAUUGUUGUAGAUUGCUUCUUUUAGCAAUAAAGGAAAACUUUUCUUUACCCGGUGGUGUUGGAGAUUUGGCGAUAGGACAUGCAUUAGUUUUAAUGCAAAUUGAUUGGCCACAAGAAGCUAAUAUUUUAGAAGAAUUAACGUAUCUAUGGACGGAACAUGGAGGUGGUGUAUCUUUAGAUAUAGCGACAGGAUCAGGGGUUCUACAAAAUCGACGUAUUACAACUCGUGGAGCAGAUAAAGGUGUGCGUGAAGAAGUAAAACAAGCAAUGCGCCGACAAGCAGCACGAGACGGCAUGAAAGAAGAUAUCUGACUGAAAUCUGGGCCUGACACCAAUUGUGUGUGAAGUUCCAAGCCUCCAGUAUAAUUGCCACUUUGUAUCAUCUGUGAUAUUUGAUGUAAUCCUUGUAAAGUAUUCUGUGAUAACUAUAAGGAUAUCUUUCUUCUAAAUUAAUAAUAAAAUAUAUAAUCUCAUAAGAUGUAAGUAUAUACAUACCUUAUUCUCUCUAAGACAAUCGUACAGAACAUCAAGUUUUUUGGAUACAUCUUCUAUUUUGCGUUUGAUUUGCUGUUUUGCGAAAAUAAAAACCGUAAUUGCCUAUUUUUUUUAUUAAUAAAAAUUAUAUUAAUAAAAAAAAUCAUCUUACCAGAUUUUUAGCAUUUUCAAAGCAUUGUUUUUUUAAUUCAUCAAAUACUGUUUUCAAGUGCACAUGUUGUUCUGGUAUUGGUAGUUUUGGUUUUUCUGGUUCUGAUGUUCUAGCAAUUGUAGUUGAUUGUGAAGGUUCCAUUUGUUUAACAUAUUGAGUACCCAUAUUUGACAUAUUCUGAUUAUAUUGUUGAGGAUUAUAAGGUGCUUGUGAUUCUGGAUAGAAUCUCUCUUGUGGCAAAACCUUAAAAAUAGUAAUAAUAUAAAAUUAUUAAUAAAAAUAUUAAUUAUUAAUAGUAUUUUAUAAUUUUGAAAGAAUCUUACUUGUAUCACUUACAUUUGGUUCAGGUUGUGGUAUUGUCCCUCUUAAUGGAUGUAAAAUCGGAUUUUGUGGUUGAAAAUCUUGUUUUGACUGUAAAAAAUGUAAUAUUACAUUAUAUAUAAUUAUAUUAAUUGCAUUAUAUUAAUUGCUGUAACAAAAUAGUACACAUGAAUUAUAAAAUAUAAUAUUGCAUAAUUUCAAUUUUUGUAUGAAGCAAAUAGAAACAUCCUUAUAUUUCACACUGUCGCAUUAGUUAAUCACACGAGAUUGUUAUUUAUGAUAAAUUAAAUUUAAAAUAUAUAAGGGAAAUAAAUAUAUUUUACUUAAAGAGAAAUCGCAAUUAUGAAACAGUGGAAACAACACUCAAUCUUUUUAGGUGUCCUUAAGAAUACCUUUAUAUUCAUAUUCUUCAAAUAUUUUGCUUUCCACUUCUUGGUACCAGCAUGAUCCGCAGACAUUUCAUUUUUGUUGCAUAAUGCCAGUACUGGCUAUAUUAUUCGAAUAUAUACACACAUAUAUAUAUACAUAUAUAUAUAUAUAUAUCAUAUAAGUAUAUAAAUAAUAAUUAAUUACUAUUUUAACGCAUAACACCAGAUAUAUUAGCAUAGAAGAAAAAUAAAGAUAUUUACUUGUAUCCUAGACGGCUUUGCAGCGGGUGGGUCGUUCCAUCCGGCAGGUUGUAGCGGUGGUUGAUAGAUGUUUGAACGAUCCAUAGAUGAUUGAUUUUCAUUGCCAUAUCCAGUUUGCGGAAGUGGUUGCGUUCUAAUAGCUUCAUACAUUUGAUUUUGUGGUUGAUUUUGUAAUGGAGAUAAUACACUAAGUUGAACUGGUUUAAAAGAUUCUACUUCUUUAGGAUUAGAUAUAAGAUUUUGUCCGGGGAAUGUAUUUGUUGACAUAGGAACUUGAGGUUGAUAAAUAUUUGAUGAAGAAUAGCCUGGUACUGGAGGAAUUUGUUGAUUAUUAUAUGGAGAUGUUUGUUGAGGAAAACCACUUUGUCCGUAUGUUGAAGUAGAUUUUACAGAUGGAUCUAUUAUGUAUUUUGAUCUCGCUUGAGGUCCAACACUAGGAGGUCGAGAUCCAACUCCACUUGAUGUAUUUGAAGGAGGUGGUGGUGGAAGUGAUUGAGAAAUAGAUGUUGAAGUGUAAGGUUGCGAUGUUUGAUCAUAUAACAUAGGUUGCAUAGAUUGCAUAGAUUGCAUAGAUUGCAUACAUUGUGUAGGUUGCAUAGGUUGAGUUAUAGAUUGACUUGCAUAAGUUGGCUGAAGUGGUUGAAGUGGAGGUGGUAUUCCAAAUGAUUGUUGUUGUUGUUGUUGUUGAGUAUUAAAUUGAUUUGGAGGUGGUAUAAAGGAUUGUUUUGUAGGAGCAAUAUUUGAAUCAAAAAAGGGUCUUGUUGGUCCUCCAGAUAGUGGAUUUUGUACACUUUGUACAGAUCUUCUUGUUCGAUCAUAAUAAUUUUGCAUUGUUGGUCCUUUUGACACAAUUUUUGAUUCUUCAAUAUAACCCAAAGCUCUGCAUAAACGAUCUUUCAACAUUACGAUUUUUUCAUCUUGACUAUUUCCUAGAUAAUUCAAUGCAGCAUCGAGAUCUCCUUCGGCUGCUAACAUUUCAGCAUAACGAGAUAAAAUAUUUGCGAUUUUUCCUUCUAUUUGUACAUCUCUAAUACCUUGCAUUUCUAAGGCUUUUUGCAUUAUAACUAUUAACUCUACUAUUUCUUGAAUUUCAACGUCAGAAGAUUCUACCAUUUUGUUCAAAUUGCCAGAACAAAUGUAGCAAAUCUGAGCUUGUUCUUUAAGCGUUACAUUAUCGGACGAUGCCAAACGAUCCCCAAGCAUAUCUGUAAAAUUCAAGAAUUUUUAUUUGUUAUAAGAGUUAAAUUAUUAUAAUAUAUAUUUUAUAAUAAAAUAUAUACCGCAUAAAGCAGAUCGUUCUUGUGGAUUAGAAUGAGUAAAUAUUCCAAUCAAUACUUCUUUCCAACAAUUUAUAUCAGCAUUGUUAACAAUUUCAGCCCAAUUUUCACUAACUAGCGAAUUGAUAAGAGAAUUGAGAGCUCCAGAAUGUUCUGAAAAGUAUCUGUACUGGGUACGUGCUAACAAAUCAGGUCCAGCAGCCAUUGAAAGAAUGACCGCAUCUGCGUACCUUUUAUUCGCAAAACAUAAUGACACUGCAGCUUCUAUAUUUCCUAAGAGGAUCGCUUGAGUGAUAAGCCCAUCCUCAUCUGAAAUAACGAAAACAAAAUUUUAUUAUUAAAUUCAAUAAAAAUAAAAUAAAAAAAAAAAAAUUUUAAAUAUGUAAAUAAUAAAUUUGAAAAUAAAUUUAAAUUUAUUUAAUAUUACCAUCAGAUACAUUAAUUUGAAGUUUUUUAUUUUUUAGAUUAGCUAUUGUUGCUUUCUUAGAUUCUUGUGCAAUAGCAUCAAACGCUGUAGUUCCAUCAACAGCACUUCCAUUAAGUACCUAAAUGAUUAUAUAUCUUAUUAUAUAAUUAAUAUUGUAUAGAAUUUUUUUAAACAUGAUUUUUUUAAAAUUUACAUUAUUAAAAUAAAACUUACAUUAUUUAAAUUACCGAUUCCUUCCGUAAUAUUAUUAAUAUCUUCUUGCGAAAUAAAUUGAUUUAAUUUAUUAUUCAUUGCAUCCACAUUGUAACCAAGUAAAUCCAAUAUGUCUUUUGUUACAUUUUCACCAAAAUAUGCAGCCACACAAUUCCAUAUCUUUUUUCUAUAUAUAUCAGUAGUACUUUCAAUUUUUCCUUUACAAUAAUCAUUGUAUUGCUCACUUUUGAGAACUUCUUCCAAUUCAUUUGAACGUUGAAUUAAAUCUGGUUGUGUGACUACUUGUGAUAUGAUUACUUUUCUGUUUGAGUUUGGAGGUAGAUUAGGAUCUACAGAUCCAUUUUCAAAAAUUAUCAAUUUACCACCAAACUAAAAAAAUUUUAUCUGUUAUAUAAAUUUGAUACUAUAAUAUAUGAAAAUUAAUAAACAUUACAUAUUUAAAGAUAAAUUCUUACUCCAAAAGAUGCUCCAAAUGGUCUUUUUAGCCAUUUUGGAGCUUUUGUCAAAAUAACUGUUGGUUCAAUAUGUACUGGAGGAGGUGGAUGUGUGAAAGGAUCCAUUCCAGGGAAAGAAUCUACAAUUUUAUUAGAUGUCUCUACAGACUUUUGUUGUUGUCCUCCUAAUAAAGAGUAAAUUGCUGCAUGUCCAUCAAAACUAGUUCCCACAACCAAUCCUGGAUGCCUUGGACACCAUGACACAUCAAAAUUCCAUUGAUUUGUUUGUGCUAAUUCACAAAUUACUUCCCCAUUCUAUAUAUUAAAAUAAAUGUACAUAAAUUUUAAAAGUCAAUUAUAAAUCCAUUUAUAAAUAUAUUAAUACUAAACAUACUGGUAUAUCUGAAUUAGGAUUCCAACAUAAUAUUCUGUUAUCUUUGGCACAACUUAAGAGCAAAUCUGGAUCAUGUAAAUUCCAUGCAAUUGAUAGAACUCCACGUUGAUGAUUUUGAAAUGUUUUCAAAGGUGAUGUUGCAAAUCUUAAAUCCCAUAAUUCAAUUAUAGGAGUUUGAUCAUCUUCUGAUGCUAAACAUAAUUGUGUUGCAACAUCUGGAUGCCAUUGUACUACUUUCCAUCUUACCUAUAUUUGCAUAUAAAAUAUAAAAAUCAUGAUGUUAUAUAAGCAAAAUGUAGAUAAAAUAUAUAGUACAAAUGAAAUUACCUUUGAAUUUGCAUCUGUUAAUUUGAUAAUAGGUUCAUUUUUUCUUAAAUCCCAUAUAAUACAACGUUGUGAAAAUGUGGAAGCAAGAAUAUGUUGGACUAUCAAUGAAAAUAAGAAUUUAAAAUAUUGAUAUACAAAUAUAUUAAAAAAUAUAAAUAUAUUAAUUAUGAAUUAUAAAAUUACCUUGCUUAUUCCAAGCAAUAUGUUGUACAUCUUCUAAUGGAUGACUUCUAGAUCCAGGAGUCAUUGGGGUAUUUGUAUUAAGAAUAUCCCAUAUAUAAAUUUCACUUUCUGUUGCUCCUGUUGCUAAUAAAUUUGCUUGAAAUGGAUUAAAAUCAAGUGCUCUAACUGGACCUGUAUGUCUAUCUGGACUACUUAUUAAAUAAUUAUUAUCAUUGGCCAACAUUUUAGCAGCAGAAUAAAUUUUUAUCAUGCCAUAGUCACAACCUCCAACAAUUAUACCAGCAGGGUUGUUACCAUAUGAACCCCAUAUUAUUUUGUGAAAUCUAUA